rnacentral:rRNA from 1 species
AUUGAACGCUGGCGGUAUGCUUAACACAUGCAAGUCGAACGGCAGCACUGUCUGUAGUAAUACAGAUGGGUGGCGAGUGGCGGACGGGUGCGUAAUACGCAGGAAUCGGCCCUAUAGUGGGGGAUAACUCGAGGAAACUGGAGCUAAUACCGCAUAGUACCUACUGAGUAAAGCGGGGGGAAUCGUGCCCUGUGGGAGGAGCCUGCGUCUGGUUAGCUAGUUGGUGGUGUAAAGGCCUAACAAGGCGACGAUCAGUAGGUGGUCUGAAGGGAUGAUCAACCACACUGGGACUGAGACACGGCCCAGACUCCUACGGGAGGCAGCAGUCGGGAAUAUUGGACAAGGGGGGCAACCCUGAUCCAGCAAUACCGCGUGUGUGAAGAAGGCCUUAGGGUUGUAAAGCACUUUAGGCGGGGAAGAAGGUAUGUAUUUUAAGAGAUAAAAUAUUUGACGGUACCCGCAGAAUAAGCACCGGCUAACUCUGUGCCAGCCGCCGCGGUAA